rnacentral:rRNA from 1 species
UGCGUAGGUGGACUCGUAUGUCAGGUGUGAAAUCCCUGGGCUUAACCCAGGAACUGCGCUUGAAACUGCGAGACUAGAGCAUGUCAGAGGUAAGCGGAAUUCCCGGAGUAGCGGUGAAAUGCGUAGAUAUCGGGAAGAACACCAGUGGCGAAGGCGGCUUACUGGGGCAUUGCUGACACUGAGGCACGAAAGCGUGGGGAGCGAACAGGAUUAGAUACCCUGGUAGUCC